rnacentral:rRNA from 1 species
GUGAGGAAUAUUGGUCAAUGGACGAGAGUCUGAACCAGCCAAGUCGCGUGAAGGAAGACGGUUCUAUGAAUUGUAAACUUCUUUUGUGCAGGAAUAAAGUGGGUUACGUGUAACCUUUUGUAUGUACUGUACGAAUAAGGAUCGGCUAACUCCGUGCCAGCAGCCGCGGUAAUACGGAGGAUCCGAGCGUUAUCCGGAUUUAUUGGGUUUAAAGGGUGCGUAGGUGGAUUGAUAAGUCAGCGGUGAAAGUUUGCAGCUUAACUGUAAAAUUGCCGUUGAAACUGUCGGUCUUGAGUGCAAAUGAGGUAGGCGGAAUGUGUUGUGUAGCGGUGAAAUGCUUAGAUAUAACACAGAACUCCGAUUGCGAAGGCAGCUUACUGGGAUGCAACUGACACUGAUGCACGAAAGCGUGGGUAUCAAACAGGAUUAGAUACCCGUGUAGUCC